CCUACGGGGGGCAGCAGUGGGGAAUAUUGCGCAAUGGAGGGAACUCUGACGCAGCAACGCCGCGUGAAGGAUGAAGGUUUUCGGAUUGUAAACUUCUUUGAUCGGGGACGAAAAUGACGGUACCCGAGGAACAAGCCACGGCUAACUACGUGCCAGCAGCCGCGGUAAUACGUAGGUGGCAAGCGUUGUCCGGAAUUACUGGGUGUAAAGGGCGCGUAGGCGGGAGAGCAAGUCAGAUGUGAAAUCCCAGGGCUUAACUCUGGAGCUGCAUCUGAAACUGUUUUUCUUGAGUACUGGAGAGGAAAGUGGAAUUCCUAGUGUAGCGGUGAAAUGCGUAGAGAUUAGGAGGAACACCAGUGGCGAAGGCGGCUUUCUGGACAGUAACUGACGCUGAGGCGCGAAAGCGUGGGGAGCAAACAGGAUUAGAUACCCUUGUAGUC
rnacentral:rRNA from 1 species